ACUUCCUGCGCAUGCGCUGUCUCCUUUCCUCUGAAAAGAGUCGGCAACGCUGGUGCACUCGCGUAUCGUGACUACCGUGAUGCCACAUUUUUGGUCGACUCGCCCACCCGUAACACGAAAUGGUGCCUGUGAACGGCGAUAAGGGGGCAUGUCAUACCACACUAGAGUUUCACAUCUGAGGUAACCGGAGUCGUGAGGUGGAGUAAACCGUGACGACAUGCUUUUAAAUUAUAACGGUUUACCGUCUCGCGCACGCAACCGUCCACAAAACCAGAGCAGUCGUCACGCGAGCGCUUGCGGUUUGUUCACGCGCAGGAGAUAACCUCCUGUCAGAGUGAUGAAUAAGCCGCCUGAGGCGAUUUUACUCGACUGGAAGACGUUCAUAUCGAAAUAUUACACCCUUCAGACGCCAGAGUUCACACUGACCUCAGUUCCACGCACUGUGUGUGAAAUCUGAAUACAUGGAAGAGAACAUGGAAGUAUUGGAACGUGGCCAGCGGGUUCAUCUGUCAUCAUAAGCACAGCUCGAUGAUCUUUCUGGCACACGGUCAGGGUCCCUACAAAAUGUCACAUCAACUCGACGUGUGGUUUUUUUUUAGACACUUCACAUUUUAUGUUUUAAGACCAAGAAGAGACCAACACCACACAUGGCCAUGUCCAUGUCAAGACCAGACGCUCAGAUGUGUUAAUUUGCUGGUUGUAGUACCGUCCUAACUUGACAUGAAAUUUCUCUUGAAUUAACUAAACAUUUGUUUUUUACUGUAACCUUACAAAGUACAGAUAUUACAAUGUUCUAUAUGUAAUAUGGAACAUUGGUCUUGUCAUAAACCCGGGUGAAAUUUUACUCAGUCUUGUCUCAGCCAACAAAGUACAAUAUUUAGAGUCUUUAGAGCCGAGACAGAGCAACAUUUCACCCGAGUUUACGACAACACCGAGACCAAUGUUUUGUACCACAGUACUACAUUUUUAUACAUUAAUCAUUUCAUUCUAUAUGUAAUUUUUAUACAUGAAUCAUUUAUUUUCAAGUGAUUUUAUACAUAAUUUUUCACAUGAUUUUGUACAUAAAUGUUCACGUGUUCAUUUAAAUACAUGAUUCAUUUUCUUUUCA